UUUUCUGGAUCGUCCCAAUACCCGUGCAUGACACAGGGGCCUCUGACCAGCAGCUCUCCUGAUUCUCCCAGAGGAACAACCACCCCAGUAGUGGGGUCCACCACUUUUGCCUGUGCACACAGUCACACUGUGAGUCACAGUGCUGUCAUGGAGAUGUGUAGAGAAAGGUUUGUGCAAAAAGGAGACGUACCUCAGUGUGGCUCAUGAUGCAUCCAGUCGUGUUUAUCUUCAGUUCAUCGUUGUCUUGUGGAAACCCCAGAAAUGUAAGGGGGCUAUUCUCUGUGGUUCCAUAACCUAACUUAAAUCAUAAUGAUUAGAUGUGCUUAAUGCUGGUAAAGUGAUUUCAAAAAGGUAUAGGACAUGCAAAUCAAAUACUUACGACUAUCUCUGUCAUGUUCAUGUCUGUUAUCAGUUUUCUAACAAUCUCAGGUGGACACGAAGACCCUGCCAUGAUCCCUGAAGCACCAAAAACAGACAAGGAGGCCGUAACUAAUGGUUAGACAAUAAACUGAAUUCAUGAAAACGACAUUUUUCUUACCAGAUUCAACCGAUGACAGGUCAUACUUGUGUAAAUCUGGUUGGCUAAGCAAGUCGAUGAACAUUGUGGGAGUGCCGUGGACGAAAUUGCACCUAAACGAUGAAAAGAUAAGUGCGAGACGAUGAACUAUUUUACUGCAUAGCAUGCAUAUGAAAAUCUGUUUGGCUGAUGAGCUGUAUAUGAUGUACUUUUCACUGUGAAUGGCCUCCAAAUUAGCAUUAAUGUUGUAGCCAGAACUAGGAAAGACGAGCGUAACACCGUGCACUGCCAUGCAAAUCCCUCCAAGCACUGAGUCAAAGCAGUGGUACAUCGGCACAGGGACGCACACUCGCACCCGGGGCUGAUGAGAAAUGUUAAAAAUAAGAUCUCUGACAUUUUUACUGCCGGCAUUUUCUUUAAAGCAAGAGACAAAUAUGGACUUACUCUUGAUGCAUAACCCACUCGAAGACCUGUAAAGUAGGCAUUAUUGACAAUAUUGUGAUGGGAAAGAACUGUUCCCUUUGGGCUUCCUGUAGUUCCCUAAAAGAGAAAACAUGGUCAAUAUGUAAACUAGAAUUACUGCGCAUCGGUAUGUAGUUUAAGUUUAAACAAAUGUUUUAGCCUCAUAAAACAAGUGCAUGUUGACUUAAACAUAUUCGAGAGGCUGAAAUGUUUAUUUCUUCUUUGACCUUUGAAAUUUGGCCAUCCAACUCAUAAAAGCUGACAAGUGGUGUCCAGUUCAAAUGGUGCUCUUAAGAUUAUGCAUUAACAAAGCCAAAAGGGGUUUCAUGAGGUCAGACUGUUGACUUUUGCCCAGGUAAAGUGGAGGUUAGUAACUAAGUAUUGAAAUGUCAAAUAUCAAUUUUGAAAAAAAAUAAUCAUUCAAGGGGUUUCUUAGAUGUUAAUUUCACAAAAAUGAACUGAAAUUGUAAUAAUUUAAUCUGUGAAUCCAACGAAAUGUUUGUACCACAUUUUAUAGGAUUUCCUGGAGUUCUUUUGCUUUCGAAUUUGCACUUGAGCGCAAGUGACAUUCCUUAAAAUGUGUUUUCAGGAAAGAGACGGACGGAAUUCAUGUGUGAAAAGUGCAAUAAUGAAAGUUACCGAUGUGAACUGAAUAUUGAUGGGGUCAUCGAAGGACAGCUUCUUCUGUAGCUCCAUCAGCUCUUUGUGGUGUCGACUCUCUCCUGCUUGCAUCACAUCCUCCACGUGCAGCAUCCCUGGCUGUCUGCUGUCCGUCACGAUCACCGUACGCAGGUCUGGCAGCCUGGCAGAGCCGAGAAACUUACGUUAUAACAGAGGAAAUCUCCCUCAGCAUCUCACAGAACAUCUGGCUUUUAAAGUGAGUAGGAC